AUUCCAGCUCCAGUAGCGUAUAUUAAAGUUGUUGCAGUUAAAAAGCUCGUAGUUGGAUUUCUGGCCUGACGAAACUGACCCGCCGCGGUUACGUGUGUGAGUGUCGGGCUUCGUCUGCCAUCCUUCCAGAAAACGUUUCUACCCUUCACUGGGCUGGAUUCGCGAUCUGGAACUUUUACUCUGAAGAAAUUAGAGUGUUCAAAGCAGGCUUGCGCUGUGAAUACAUUAGCAUGGAAUAAUAAUUUAGGACUCAGGUCUUAUUUUGUUGGUUCUUAAGAUCUAAGUAAUGAUUGAUAGGGAUAGUUGGGGGUGCUAGUAUUCAGCGGCCAGAGGUGAAAUUCUUGGAUUCGCUGAAGACUAACUUAUGCGAAAGCAUUCACCAAGGAUGUCUUCAUUA
rnacentral:rRNA from 1 species